GAGCGGUAGAGAGAAGCUUGCUUCUCUUGAGAGCGGCGGACGGGUGAGUAAUGCCUAGGAAUCUGCCUGGUAGUGGGGGAUAACGUUCGGAAACGGACGCUAAUACCGCAUACGUCCUACGGGAGAAAGCAGGGGACCUUCGGGCCUUGCGCUAUCAGAUGAGCCUAGGUCGGAUUAGCUAGUUGGUGGGGUAAUGGCUCACCAAGGCGACGAUCCGUAACUGGUCUGAGAGGAUGAUCAGUCACACUGGAACUGAGACACGGUCCAGACUCCUACGGGAGGCAGCAGUGGGGAAUAUUGGACAAUGGGCGAAAGCCUGAUCCAGCCAUGCCGCGUGUGUGAAGAAGGUCUUCGGAUUGUAAAGCACUUUAAGUUGGGAGGAAGGGCCAUUACCUAAUACGUGAUGGUUUUGACGUUACCGACAGAAUAAGCACCGGCUAACUCUGUGCCAGCAGCCGCGGUAAUACAGAGGGUGCAAGCGUUAAUCGGAAUUACUGGGCGUAAAGCGCGCGUAGGUGGUUUGUUAAGUUGGAUGUGAAAUCCCCGGGCUCAACCUGGGAACUGCAUUCAAAACUGACUGACUAGAGUAUGGUAGAGGGUGGUGGAAUUUCCUGUGUAGCGGUGAAAUGCGUAGAUAUAGGAAGGAACACCAGUGGCGAAGGCGACCACCUGGACUGAUACUGACACUGAGGUGCGAAAGCGUGGGGAGCAAGCAGGAUUAGAUACCCUGGUAGUCCACGCCGUAAACGAUGUCAACUAGCCGUUGGGAGCCUUGAGCUCUUAGUGGCGCAGCUAACGCAUUAAGUUGACCGCCUGGGGAGUACGGCCGCAAGGUUAAAACUCAAAUGAAUUGACGGGGGCCCGCACAAGCGGUGGAGCAUGUGGUUUAAUUCGAAGCAACGCGAAGAACCUUACCAGGCCUUGACGUCCAAUGAACUUUCUAGAGAUAGAUUGGUGCCUUCGGGAACUCUGACACAGGUGCUGCAUGGCUGUCGUCAGCUCGUGUCGUGAGAUGUU
rnacentral:rRNA from 1 species